UUUGGUAUAUAACUGGAUUGGUCUCUAUUGUUUUUUUCUCUCUUCUUUCAUAAAUUAACUAGACACCAACUUGCUAUAAAUUAACUAGACACCAACUUGCUAUAAAUGGCUCUCUCAUUCCCCAAUCCCCACCUUUCUCAGAAGGUGGGUCUUCGACUUCACAACUGUAACCCGUUUCAUUCUCAUCAUUUUUGCGUGCAAUGAUCCUCCCUUCGGGUUUUAUGGGCUCUUCUUUUUCUUUCUUUUAUGGUAUAAUUUCUUUUCUUUUUUUGGUGUAGGUUUUAGUACUUAAAUAAACAUGAUAAUUUGACCAGAAAGUUUACUUCUUUUUUAAAAUUUUGGUUUGUUGUUUUUUGCUAAUUUGUAUUGAUGGGUUCUGAAUGUUUUGUUUGAUUAGCUCUUCAGUGAUAGUUAUAUUAUCUGGGUUUGAUUUUUGUUAAAUAAAAACAAGAAAGAUGGGAUUUUUUUUGUUAAAUUCUGACUGGUUUUGGAGGUUAAGGGAGAGUAGUUCGAGGAUCAUUCACGCAAAAAUGAUGUGAAUAAUGGGUUAUUAUGUGAAAAAAUGAUCUCGUUAUUGAAGGAUAACCAGAGCUCAAGAGGGUCCUUGUUGCAAAAGGUUCUUGUUAAGAUUGUUUUUUCCUCCAAUUCCAAAGAUCCCGCAUGGCUACGUUUCACAGCUUUGCUGCACUACUUGAGGUUUCUCUCAGCCAGCUAGGUGUGCAUUGUCUCUCAGACAUGUCAGUGGUCACAAUAUCUCAUGACGUACUACACUGGUAAACUCUAUUCUUCAAUGCUUGCAUUCAAUUUUAGGAUUCAGUUGUUAAUUUUCCAUACUGUUUCGCUGUGACAGGGCCAUUGUCAGUUGCAGUUUUAAGAUCUAGUUAGUAGCUUUGGAUUGGAACAUUUUCUAUUUACCACAGUUAAUUUACUUUUGACACAUCAGAGGUUCCAUGAAGAAUUGUGCGCCCGCGUGCAUGCCAGUGUUGUGUUUCUAGGAAAUUUUAUGCAACUCUCAUUAAAUUUUAUGUAUAGACGAUGGAUCAUUUAAUUUAAAGAAGAGACUAAAUAUUAGCGAAAAUAGUCUCAAUUGGAUGUCUGAUCCUUCCAAAGAGAGGGAAUUUCAUUUAUGCCAUAUCCUUGAUUUUGAUCAGUCAAUCAAUCAAUGCCUCGCCACAUUUGUUUUGUCAUUUUUUUCAUGGUUUUUGCUUGUUUAUCUGGCUUUGGAGAUGCAAAGGACAAUAGCAAAUUAAACUGAUUAGAUGCAGAAGUAUAGAGAUGACAAGAUCAAAGAUAGAAAGACGACUACUGGUGAAGAAUAACAAAGAAGUCCAGAGUUUUUGGAGAGAUUUGCUAGUAGGUUUAUAUGUUAGUUUUUGCAUGCAGGCCAGGCUCCAAGCUUCUCUCCUUGAGUGCGUUUAUGUGUUUGAUCUACGUCCGAAGGGGUUCAGCAGAGGCCAAUCUUGCCAACUUUCUAGUUUGGCAAUUGUUUUAAGCGGUGGCUGUAGCUUUCGAGCCAUGAACACGUUUCUUUUUCCGGGUGGUGUUUAUGGCGGGGCAGCUCAAUGUGCUCCCCAGUGGCCAGGAUGCCUCAGGCACACUUUCCCCAACGACAUUCUUCUUUGGGCCAUUUUAUGUGAAUGGAAUUGCAAAUCAUUUUCAGUGAAUGAAACACUGUUAGGUUUGCUUGCUGUUUUGCCACAAUCCUCAUUCAAACACGCGCAUUGGAUUGAAUUCAUGUCCUUCUUAACCCCUUUUGAGUAGGCUUUGAUCAUAGCCAGCGAAAACUGUGAUUCACCAUGUAAAUCUUCUGUUUUCUUUAUUUUCAAUAAUUUGACUUUCACUGA